rnacentral:rRNA from 1 species
CCUACGGGAGGCUGCAGUGAGGAAUAUUGGUCAAUGGACGAGAGUCUGAACCAGCCAAGUAGCGUGAAGGAUGACUGCCCUAUGGGUUGUAAACUUCUUUUAUAUGGGAAUAAAACGUUCCACGUGUGGGAUUUUGUAUGUACCAUAUGAAUAAGGAUCGGCUAACUCCGUGCCAGCAGCCGCGGUAAUACGGAGGAUCCGAGCGUUAUCCGGAUUUAUUGGGUUUAAAGGGAGCGUAGGUGGAUUGUUAAGUCAGUUGUGAAAGUUUGCGGCUCAACCGUAAAAUUGCAGUUGAAACUGGCAGUCUUGAGUACAGUAGAGGUGGGCGGAAUUCGUGGUGUAGCGGUGAAAUGCUUAGAUAUCACGAAGAACUCCGAUUGCGAAGGCAGUUCACUGGACUGCAACUGACACUGAGGCUCGAAAGUGUGGGUAUCAAACAGGAUGAGAUACCCGUGUAGUC